AGUGAGAGAAUUGGAGUAUAAGAUGCAACUAAGUUACAAAGAGAAGAUAAGUUACAGGGACUGUCCCAUGAGUAGUUUUAAAUGUUAGAAUCAAAAUUUUUAGUUUAGUACGUAAAUGUAAUGGAAGCCAAUGUAAGUUAAAGUAUCGGGGGCUAUUUCAUAGGUGGAAAAGUGCUGUUUUAUUAUGGGCAUCGAACAUCAAUUACAGAUCAAAAUUAACACCAAGAUCGCACACUUGAGAGGAUGGAGUAACUAAUACAGUCAGUAAUCAAAUUGGAACAAUUAAAUGUAUGCAAAGCCAUUGACAUACCAACAAAUAAAAGUUCAGUUGAUUGAUUUAGGCUAUUUAAAACAAAGACAAUUUGAAGUAUGCAGUAUUUUAGUUUUAUAAAUAAUUAAAUAAAUUAAAAAAAUCAUAUAACAAAUGCCCAGGAGUUGAAUAAAUACACACAUAUUGCUGAAUUAAGUUUAUUAAUGUUGUUAGGUCAUAGUAGUUAUGUUUUGUUUUGCAGGUUGCCGCUGACAGUGAAGUGGAUGACAUAGAGCAUAUGGAUGUAAAAUUCUUGCCAACAAAGGAAGUAAGUAAAACCGAAGAUAUAUCACUUUGUUCAGAACAACAAGCAACCAAAGAUGUUGAGAGCCUUUCAUCGGGCCAUGACACAAAUAAGCAGCAGUUCAUGUCUGGAUCUAAAGAGAGGGAUGAAACUGGAUCUGUACUACGAGAAGAUGACAGCAAAUUUACUCGUGGCUUAUCCUGUGAAUCACUAAAGCCUGUCUUUACCAUAGUGCUGGACUCUGAUCUUACCAAACCCAACCAGAUCCCACUGACACAACCUGUCCCAGCUUCUUCAACUAAAUGGGAUACUGUUUCAGUUGCUCAUGAUGGGACUGCAGAGACAUCAGAGGAUGGCUUGAAACUCUUGGAAGUCAAACCAAAUGUUGAUGUAGCUGUACAUGAAGAACAUGCUGUAAUAAGCUCUUCUGAUGAACCUGUACAUUUAUGUGCUGAUCUUUCAUCAUCAGAAGUGCAGUUUAAAGAAAACAGCCACACUGUUAAUAUUGAACCCACUUAUUCUCCUCUAGACCUUGAUUUCAGGCCUAAACCAGAGAAGGACUCAUCUACUCAAGCAUUUGACCCAAUGCUUUUAUACCCAGAGAAGCAUCAAGCAAGCUCUGGAACUGCUAAGAAAGUAUUUACCAUCAUCCUGGAUGUUGAAACUCCUACAUUAUCAUCAGACAGGUAUCAAUCACUGCAAGACACACAAUGUACAGGUCCUGACGACUCAACCACAGAUGAAUUCUCCCAUUCAGAUGUAAAAAGUCAACAGAAGAACCCAUUUGGUACUGAGAAACAUGAAGGCCGAAUGGCUGAACUAGGUCUUUCAGAAAAGUCCAAUGUGAAAUCAAGUAGCUCUGAAAUGCAGCCAGGACAGAAGGAAGCUCCGCUUAUCCAUCCCCAAACCCCUGAGAUCAUGGAGAAUGACAUUCAAAAAGAUGAAAAAGAGAAGCAACAUGAAGUCACUCAAGGCAGUGAGUCAGGGUCUGUUGUUCACCAGCAGGAUCUCCCAAUGUUGGAGAGUCAUGACAACAACACCUUUGAAGAGCCUUCAAAUGAAGCAAACGCAUUUCAGAGGCCUCCAAAAGUUGCUAAAGGUAGGAAGAAAAACCGAAAACCAGUUAGUGUAGAAAAAGCAAUCAAUAUCAGUAAUAAAAAGCUGAGCACCUGUAAAUGUGAACAAAAGAACACAGCUCACUCAGAAAGCCUUCAAACUUCUAAGGUCAGGCUGCCGGACACCACAGAUAUGGCCUGUGUCAGCACAAUGACUGUGUCUUCAGACUUCAGUCAACCAAACACUGCAGAGCCAUUGAGUACAGAAGACAAACUAACAGUGGACACUGUGCAGAAAGAGACCUUGAAUCAAACUGAAACAGAGGAUCGACAUUUUGAAAACAUUAGCAUCUCACUUGCCAGAGACGCCCAUAUUAGUACCACAGAUACGGUUUUAGCAGCAGUAGAGACUGUACAGUCAACACAUACAGAGUACUCAGAACUAACGCCAGAAGAUUCUUCAUCUGUUGUGACAGCUGACUGUAUAACACAGUUUUCUACCACAGUCCCAUCAGAGUUACAACUCAGCCAUGCUGAAGCUCAGAGGACUGAGGAUUCAGAUGACAGUUUCCCUUUGCAGUAUGAAAAAAUGCACAGAGCCAAUUCAGAUUCAUCUGCCGGGAGCAAAACGUCCCAAAACAGAGGAUCAGGAGCAGAUGGUGAGGAUCAAACGAGGCAUGCGGAGCAGCCUACUGGGACACGUGUGUGGGCCACUUUACUGAACACCAUCUCUAAUGCUCAGCCACUUCUGAUCACCAAUCACGGUACUGAGGAAUCUAGACCAAGGAAAGAUUCCUUGCUUCAGAAGAGAUCACUUUUAGAGUCUGAUAGCGGUCUGGCAUGGACUGUCCUGUGGGUUUUCAGAUGUCGGUACAGACCGGCCCAACUUAACAUUGUACAUAUGGCUCAUCAGCUGGAAGAAGUUGAGAUCUGCCGGAAAUAUGUCCUGGAGCAGGUGUCUAGAUUGCCUCAACGUGAAUCUAGUGCAGGACGCUCUACAGAGCUUGAGCUGAGCAUAGAGGGCAGAUGGAACAGAGUACUGCUGGAUACCUCAACCAUGGUGGAGUUCAAAAAGGCACAGCUCCAGCUGGUCACACAGUACCACCUGCAAAAACGGGUUCUCACGGAUACUCUACACAACCUGGAGGCUGAGCUCAACACAAUGACACCGUGAGCAUCUUUGACAUUUUCUCUGUGUGUGUGUAUUCAGGUAAACCCUACGUUAUGGGGACAAAAUGUCCCCACAAAGAUGACAAUAUCCAAAUUUUAUUGUGGUCCCCACAUUUUUUGGAAAACAGCAUAUCAAUCAUACAGAAUUAUGUUUUUUUUUAUGAUCUAAAAAUGCAGAAAGUUUUGUUGGUAGGAUUUAGGCUANGGGUGAGGCAGAGGGACCUGUGGCCUUCAUUGAACCUUUUAGGACUUUACAGGAGAGAUGGCAAACUAUAGAGCGGGUUGCCUCCAGCAGUCUGUGGUGUGCUAACAUCUGCACAGCAGAAGUAUCUGCACUCCUGCAAGAAGCCAGAGAUCUGCACCAUGAACUGGUGCUUCUGGAGAAGUCAGUUUCUUUUCCACAUCCCUCUCAAGGACAGAUGGACUGCCGAAGUGAGCUACAAGAAACUGUCAGAACUGCAGACCUGGCAGCAUUAACAGAGCUCUACUUAUACCUUCUUGAGGUCUCUCAGGCUCUUUCCUCAAGUCCGCUGGGAAAAAAAGAGCUCAGAGAUAUGGAGGAUGCAAUGCAGGGCUUGAAUUCUCAGCUUGCGUUGACUCAGGAGAAGCUCAGCUCCCAGACUUCGAAUGGCAAUGGCUGUUCACCGAUCUCGAGGAUUAUCAAGGACUACGUUACAUGGGCUAAACAAACAGAAAGCAAAGUCAGCAGGAGUAGGAGGUUGGCUCUGUUUCCUGAAGAGGCAAGUCACCAGGUCAACCACAUGAAGAAACUGCAGUCUGAAACAUCUCUUAAGAAGAUUCAGUUGGCCUCUGUAUUGAAAGAGCUAAGAGAGGAAGUUACAGGACUCGACAAGGAGGAUUCAAUGUCUCCCAUCCUUGCUUCCCUAGAGGAUUUGUACGUUAAGAUUACAGAGAAGACCGAAUGUGCUGUUGCAGAAAUGAACAGAAUGUUUCAAAUAAGAGAGAGACUGUGGAAACAGAUCACUGACAGCAGCUCUUGGUUAACCUCAGUAUUAGAAAAAGAGUCUGGUAAAACAGUGGCUUCUAAACCUAAAACUACAAUCCCAGAAUUGAGGGUUCAGCUUCAGGUAUGCACAGAGGCUUUGAAGGAAGCCGAGAGACAAGCAAAUAACUUGGAGACUCUGUUAGAUGAAAUAAAAAAUGUGAAUCACGGUCUGAGUGUACCCGA
ensembl:lncRNA